CACCGCGGUUAUACGGGUGGCCCAAGUUGACAGACGCCGGCGUAAAGCGUGGUUAAGAAGUAUUAAAACUAAAGCCGAACGCCUUCAAAGCAGUUAUACGCAUCCGAGGGUAUGAAGCCCCACCACGAAAGUGGCUUUAUAAAAUCUGACUCCACGAAAGCUAUUAAA
rnacentral:rRNA from 1 species